UACGUAGGGAGCGAGCGUUGUCCGGAUUCAUUGGGCGUAAAGAGCUCGUAGGCGGCUUGGUAAGUCGGAUGUGAAACCUCCAGGCUCAACCUGGAGUCGCCAUCCGAUACUGCCAUGGCUAGAGUCCGGUAGGGGCCCACGGAAUUCCUGGUGUAGCGGUGAAAUGCGCAGAUAUCAGGAGGAACACCAAUGGCGAAGGCAGCUCUCUGGGACGGUACUGACACUGAGACGCGAAAGCGUGGGGAGCGAACAGG
rnacentral:rRNA from 1 species